rnacentral:rRNA from 1 species
CCUACGGGAGGCAGCAGUGAGGAAUAUUGGUCAAUGGGCGCGAGCCUGAACCAGCCAAGUCGCGUGAGGGAAGACGGUCCUAUGGAUUGUAAACCUCUUUUGUCGGGGAGCAAAAGACGCCACGCGUGGCGUUCCGAGAGUACCCGACGAACAAGCAUCGGCUAACUCCGUGCCAGCAGCCGCGGUAAUACGGAGGAUGCGAGCGUUAUCCGGAUUUAUUGGGUUAAAGGGGUGCGCAGGCGGAAGAUCAAGUCAGCGGUAAAAUUGAGGGGCUCAACCUCUUCGAGCCGUUGAAACUGGUUGUCUUGAGUGAGUGAGAAGUAGGCAGAAUGCGUGGUGUAGCGGUGAAAUGCAUAGAUAUCACGCAGAACUCCGAUUGCGAAGGCAGCAUACCGGAGCUCAACUGACGCUCAUGCACGAAAGUGUGGGUAUCGAACAGGAUUAGAUACCCCAGUAGUC